GUGGCUGAUCAUUCUUUGCUAUUUGAACACAGAAGUUAAGCAGCAUUGGCCCCGUUUAGUGCUUGGAUGGGUGACUUCCUGGGAAUUCCAGAUGUUUCUCAUC
rnacentral:rRNA from 1 species